ACUUCACUCCUUCUGCACCACUGCACCCACCAGGGAAUUUGCAUUUUGUCUCCAGGGUGGACCUUCCCAAGCAAGUCUCAGAUAAAAUCUGACACUAACUUGGCCUUGCCUGAUCAGGACUCUUCAGUUCAGUUUCUCAAAAUGAGGCUCCCUCUUCAGCCCCUGGGGCUGCUACUCUUCUGUAUCACUGGAUCCACUGGAGAUGUUGUGAUGACCCAGACCCCACUCUCUCUGUCCAUCGCCCCUGGAGAGCCGGCCUCUAUCUCCUGCAGGUCCAGCCAGAGCCUCCUCUCUAGUAAUGGAAAUACCUAUUUGCAUUGGGUUGUGCACAAGCCAGGCCAGGCUCCACAUGGUGUGAUUUACCUGGUUUCAUACCGGUAUUCUGGUAUCUCAGACAGAUUCAGUGGCAGUGGGUCAGGGACAGAUUUUGUCCUCAAAAUUAGCAAGGUGGAGGCUGAGGACGCUGGAGUUUAUUACUGUGUGCAAAGUACACAUGAACCUCGCACAGUGCUACAGCCCCGAACACAAACCUCCCUGCCUGGGGAGGCCCAGCUGCCCUCCUGCACUGCUGUCUGGGGAGCAGCAGAGUGCAGCCUGCUCUCUGUGAGAGGAAGAGGCUGAAGAAUCAGAAAAACAAGUUGUAACUGAGGUCUCUGCCCUGCCUAGAGAAUGAGGAAGACAACACAACAGCCAGGAUCUGUGUUCUGGUGAGGAAGCUGACUCAGAGAGAGAAUGGAGCUGAACUCCAGAGCUUCUUUAGUGCCUUAAAACUUCUGUUGUUUUAUGAAACUGAAAAAAAUACAAACCAAAUGAACCAUGAAUUUUGCUAAAAUGACCAACAAGCUAGAAAUGGCCUCCACAGUUGGAAAUUUCUCUUGCAAUUUUCUCACAUUGUGAUUAUCCAGUGGGAAACGGUCACCAUGGACUCUCCUUUCAGCCAAGCUGGUACUCCUAUGAUGCUGCGCCCAUUUCCAGAGGGCAGCAUUAAAGGGAUCACUUCUGGUAUUGCAAUGUUGGGCUUUGUGUGACUCCAUAGAUCAUCGGAAGUGGUGCCUCAUGCAGGGCUCUUGGUCUUACUGACUCCAUGGUGAGUAAAAGUCCUGGCCUAAAGAAACCUCAGUCAUGUCAUGUCUGUCUAGUCAAUGUAGCACAGCAAAGGUGAGCAUUCAAAUUGUGAUUCUGCCUCGAGGUACCUGAGGAUGACCUCAGAGAAGUUGGGUCUAUCCUUAUUUGGUGAUAUCCAGGAUUACAGCUACCUAUCAAGGAGACAAACAAAUGCUCAGAAAAUUUCUCACAGCAAUUAGUAGCAAUUUUCCUUGCUUUUUAUGGGCAAUCUUUGGCUCUGUUCUCCAUCACAAGCACAUAUGCAGCUUUAGUUUCCACAAGGAUCAUUUGUAAAAAGAUUUUUAUUGGAAAAAAAGACAUGCAGACCUGACAUUUUCAGAAUUAAGGCAGGUGCCUCUCACCUCCCCUCAUCCUCAUGAGACAUGCUUGAUAAAUCUCAAUAGGCUCCAUUUCUUCCAUUUGUGAUAA